CACAGUAACAGUAACAGCAGCAGAAGAAGAGCGCCAACGGACGAGGUGGGACUCGGACGGCGCACGCACUCUGCAGAUCCAGAGGGAGAGGGAUGUUUUCUGUCCUGAUCCCAACACAGUGACAACAUGUACAGAUGUCCACCCAGACAGAGGGGAGUGUGUGUCGGUGUGUUUGUUGCACAGAGACAAAGUUGGUGUGAGAGUCCCCGCCGAACCGGAUGACAGUGUCUUUAAAAGGCCCAAAGACCCGCCCCCCUGUGUUGGACACAGGGACAAAGGGGUUGGAGUCUCACGGUCCUCCACCGACGAUGCAUCGACUCGGGGAGCCCUCAGUCCCACUGAGGGGGGCUUGCCGGUGGGAACCCCUGACGCUGUGACCCCUCGGAGCUCCAGACUGUCCUGGAAGUCCGAAACGGAGGAUCGAGGAGGAGGAGGCGGGACAGAAAGAGGAGGAGGAG